GAUGAAGAACGCAGCGAAAUGCGAUAAGUAAUGUGAAUUGCAGAAUUCAGUGAAUCAUCGAAUCUUUGAACGCGCAUUGCGCCCAUUAGUAUUCUAGUGGGCAUGCCUGUUCGAGCGUCAUUUCAACCCUUAAGCCUAGCUUAGUAUUGGGAAUCGACUUUACUGUCGUUCCUCAAAUUCAACGGCGGAUUUAUAGCAAUCUCUGAACGUAGUAAUUUUUUUCCUCGUUUUUGAAAUACUAUAAACCUCAGCCGCUAAACCCCCAAUUUUUCUAUGGUUGACCUCGGAUCAGGUAGGAAUACCCGCUGAACUUAAGCAUAUCAAUAAGCGGAGGA
rnacentral:misc_RNA from 1 species